GACGAACGCUGGCGGCGUGCUUAACACAUGCAAGUCGAACGGUGAAGCGCCUUCCUUUUUGGUGGGUGUGGUGAGUGGCGAACGGGUGAGGAACACGUUGGUAAACUUCCCCCUUCUUCUGGGAAAACGGCAUAAAUGAGGGGCAAACCGGGUAAUUUCUGGGUCUGUCCCUGAAGGGCCUGGGGAAGAGAUUGUUUCGGAUGGGGCUGGGGCCGGCGGCCUAUCAGCUUGUUGGUGGGGGGAUGGACUACCAAGGCGGUGACGGGUUGCCGGCCUGGGAGGGUGGACGGUCAUACUGGGAAGGAGACACGGACCAGACUCCUACGGGAGGCAGCAGUGGGGAAUAGUGCACAAUGGGCGCAAGCCUGAUGCAGCGACGCCGCGUGAGGGAUGGAGGCCUUCGGGUUGUGAACCUCUUUCGCCAGUGAAGCAGGCCUGCCUCGUUUGUGGGUGGGUUGACGGUAGCUAGAGAAGAAGCGCCGGCUAACUACGUG
rnacentral:rRNA from 1 species